rnacentral:rRNA from 1 species
GAUGAACGCUGGCGGCGUGCCUAAUACAUGCAAGUCGAGCGAACGGACGAGAAGCUUGCUUCUCGGAUGUUAGCGGCGGACGGGUGAGUAACACGUGGAUAACCUACCUAUAAUACUGGGAUAACUUCGGGAAACCGGAGCUAAUACCGGAUAAUAUUUUGAACCGCAUGGUUCAAAAGUGAAAGACGGUCUUGCUGUCACUUAUAGCUGCAUCCGCGCUUCAUUAGCUAGUUGGUAAGGUAACGGCUUACCAAGGCAACGAUGCAUAACCGACGUGAGAGGGUGAUCGGCCACACUGGAGCUGGGACGGGGUCCUGAGUACUACGGGAGGGAGCAGUAGGCAAUCUUACGCAAUGGGGGAAAGCAUGACGGAGCAACGCGGCGUGAGUGAUGAAGGUGUUCGGAUCGUAAAACUCUGUUAUUAGGGAUGAACAUAUGUGUAAGUAACUGUGCACAUAUUGACGGUACCUAAUCAGAAAGCCACGGCUAACUACGUG